GGCGAACGCUGGCGGCGUGCUUAACACAUGCAAGUCGAACGGAAAGGCCUGCUUUCCCUUGUGGAUUGCGGGUACUCGAGUGGCGAACGGGUGAGUAACACGUGAGUGAUCUGCCCCCAACUUGGGUAUAAGCCUGGGAAACUGGGUCUAAUUCCCGAUAGGACUGCAGGGUGGUGCCUGUGGUGGAAAACGAUUUUCUAGUGGUUGGGGAUGAGCUCGCGGCCUAUCAGCUUGUUGGUGGGGUAAUGGCCUACCAAGGCGGCGACGGGUAGCCGGCCUGAGAGGGUGGACGGCCACAUUGGGACGGAGAUACGGCCCAGACUCCUACGGGAGGCAGCAGUGGGGAAUAUUGCACAAUGGGCGGAAGCCUGAUGCAGCGACGCCGCGUGGGGGAUGACGGCCUUCGGGUUGUAAACUCCUUUCGACCGCGAGGAAGCCACCUGGUUGGAAGGGUGGUGACGGUAGUGGUAGAAGAAGCACCGGCUAACUACGUG
rnacentral:rRNA from 1 species